rnacentral:rRNA from 1 species
AUUGAACGCUGGCGGCAUGCCUUACACAUGCAAGUCGAACGGUAACGGGCCUUCGGGUGCCGACGAGUGGCGAACGGGUGAGUAAUACAUCGGAACGUGCCCGAUCGUGGGGGAUAACGAGGCGAAAGCUUUGCUAAUACCGCAUACGAUCUACGGAUGAAAGCAGGGGACCGCAAGGCCUUGCGCGGACGGAGCGGCCGAUGGCAGAUUAGGUAGUUGGUGGGAUAAAAGCUUACCAAGCCGACGAUCUGUAGCUGGGCUGAGAGGAUGAUCAGCCACACUGGGACUGAGACACGGCCCAGACUCCUACGGGAGGCAGCAGUGGGGAAUUUUGGACAAUGGGCGCAAGCCUGAUCCAGCCAUGCCGCGUGCAGGAUGAAGGCCUUCGGGUUGUAAACUGCUUUUGUACGGAACGAAAAGCCUUCUUUUAAUACAGGAGGGUCAUGACGGUACCGUAAGAAUAAGCACCGGCUAACUACGUG